GCAGUCAUGGCCUAGUGGAUAAGGUGAUUGACUAGAGAUCGAAAGAUCGCUGGUUCGACCCCAGAUCCACUGCG